rnacentral:rRNA from 1 species
GAUGAACGCUGGCGGCGUGCCUAAUACAUGCAAGUCGAGCGAAUGGAUUAAGAGCUUGCUCUUAUGAAGUUAGCGGCGGACGGGUGAGUAACACGUGGGUAACCUGCACAUAAGACUGGGAUAACUCCGGGAAACCGGGGCUAAUACCGGAUAACAUUUUGAACCGCAUGGUUCGAAAUUGAAAGGCGGCUUCGGCUGUCACUUAUGGAUGGACCCGCGUCGCAUUAGCUAGUUGGUGAGGUAACGGCUCACCAAGGCAACGAUGCGUAGCCGACCUGAGAGGGUGAUCGGCCACACUGGGACUGAGACACGGCCCAGACUCCUACGGGAGGCAGCAGUAGGGAAGCUUCCGCAAUGGACGAAAGUCUGACGGAGCAACGCCGCGUGAGUGAUGAAGGCUUUCGGGUCGUAAAACUCUGUUGUUAGGGAAGAACAAGUGCUAGUUGAAUAAGCUGACACCUUGACGGUACCUAACCAGAAAGCCACGGCUAACUACGUGCCAGCAGCCGCAGUAA